UACAGAGGUCUCAAGCGUUGUUCGGAUUCAUUGGGCGUAAAGGGUGUGUAGGUGGCGCCGUAAGUCGGGUGUGAAAUUUCGGGGCUUAACUCCGAAACUGCAUUCGAUACUGCCGUGCUUGAGGACUGGAGAGGAGACUGGAAUUUACGGUGUAGCGGUGAAAUGCGUAGAUAUCGUAAGGAAGACCAGUGGCGAAGGCGGGUCUCUGGACAGUUCCUGACGCUGGGGCACGAAGGUCAGGGGAGCAAACGGG
rnacentral:rRNA from 1 species